GAGUCUCUGGGGUACAAGGCUGGAGCUCUGGGCCUGCAACUGGAGAGCUUUCAAGUUCAAGAUCCAAGAUUCAAGUGGAGCUCUGGGCCUGUCAACUGGAGAGCUCUAGAUGAUCUGUGUGGUCAAGGCAGUGGCUGUAGUUGUCACCUAGCUGUUGAGAACUCCAGUAGGUGUGUGGUGUCACCUGGCUGUUGAGGUUUCCAGUAGGUGUGUGGUGGAACAAACUUCUCUUCUCUUCUCUGAUCUCUGGCCCUAUCAAGGUUCUGUGAUAUGAUCCAGGCUGCCUUGGCAGUAGGGUGGUGGUGCGUCUACCACCGCAACCUUGUAAGGAUGACUUUAAAAAAAAAAGGCGCAGGUGACCCACGUCCCAAUCCCAACAUACCACACGGCCCGCCGCAUCCGUUGACGGUGGCUGCAGUACGCAGCCUGGAAGGGACAGCCGACUCCGCGCCAGGAUAGCCGCCCCACAGGAGUGGGGCGACGCUGCCGGGCUGGCAGCGAGGCAGUGGCGCCACGGAAGGCACGCCCCCUGCGCGGCACGAAGGCAAGACUCCAGCGCCGUCGUGUCAGUAGCGUGGGUCUCCUGCACCAUCGCCACAUCUGCCCCAACUUGCUGCAGGUGCGAAACAAGCACCCGCGCCUUUAUCGGCGAGCCCAGGCCGUUGACAUUCACUGUCAGCAGCCGAAGGGUCGCCGCUCCCACUGGUGGCCGCAUUAUGAGCCCCCGCCGGCCACGGCAGCGCCGUGGCGGUUGCGGUUGCUGUUGCUGCUGUGGCGUGUGCGGCGGCGGCCGCCACCCUGGCUGGGGGGCGCACCGCCGCAGCUGGUGCUCAUGCUAUCGGCGCCUGAGCUGGCGCCGCCGGGGCGCAGUGGAGCGCUGCCCAGGCUCAUGAGGCUGGAGGUACUGCGGCUGCGGUGCUGGCGUUGCCGGCGGCUGGGCCCGCCGGCACCGCCGGGGUCCUCCUGUCCACGCUUAGCGGACCGCAGGGUGCGGGCGUCUAGGAGCACGUAGUCCAUGUAAGCCGUCUGCACCUGCUGCGCGGCGUCAUCCAGCUGCUCCGUCACGUCGGAAGGCAGGGGCGUGCCUGCAGGCUGGGCAGAGUACAGGCGCCACCAGCCAGUGAACUCGUCGCGCAGCUGUGCCAGGACGGCGGUACGGCCUGCCGGCACACGGCAGACAGCCCAGUCCGGUACGGUGGCGCCCUGGUCACGGAGGUAGCCGAGGAGGCGGCCACCAAGCGCCGCCAGGCCGGCAACCCUGGAAGACGCUCACCCGGGUGCUGCUUACCCAUGUGCGCCCGGACUCUGCCACCACGUGGGCGUGGGUGUACAGCGACGCGCCGGCGCCAGCGGGGCUGCCUGCCCGGCUGGCGGCCGCGGUCGGCCACGUGCGGAGCGCGGGCGUGGAACAGCAUCCGCCGCAGCCAGCCACUCAGCCGCCAGCGGCGCCACCACAGUGGCGGGUUAGCCUGGACCAGCUGUGGGUGGCUAACGCUGCGGGGGCUGUGUCCUACGUCCACUACACGGGGCGGCUCUUGGAGCCUGGGCCUGGCGUGCUGCCCCCGGCGGUGGAUGGGGCAUGGCAGCCUGCCUGUGUGCUGCAGCAUCGCAAGCCGCGGCACCUGUGGACCUUUGAAGAGCGGGCGGCGUACGAUGCAGCAUCACCAGGGGAACGGGCGGGGGCGUGGCCUCGGGCGCCGUACUUCCUGGCGCCGGAGGCUGGGGUGGUGGUGCACCCGGAGCACUGCCGGAUUGCGGGUGUCAGCUUGGCGGACUACACGGUGCGGGACGUGCGGCGGGCCAUCACCGCGGCCAACCCGGCCGCCCCUCUGGCUCCGGCCCGCCCCGCAGCCAUGCCGUGCCCGGCGCCAGCACAGCAGGCGGGGGGUCCGGGGACCCAGCCGGCGGCACAGUCACGGCUGGCGGUGCGGGAGGCAGAGUGGCAGCGUGCAGCGGCGCAGCUGACCACCACGGCGGCGCAGCACUUCCACAAUAACCCAGUGGCUCUGGACCCCUGGCUCCACCGCACCUCCACGGCAGCUGGGCAGCAGAACACGCUGGCAAGAGAACUGCAGUCGUAUGCGUCCCCGUCCCAGCAGUCGGGUGAGGGGCCGCGGCGUUCCGCGCGGCAGCAGGAGCAGGCGGCGGGCGGGGCGGGACCUAGCACGGGGCCUGCCACGGCGGGGGCGGCAGCAGCGGCGGCGGUGGAGGGCGACCCUCGCAUGCCGCCCCCGGAUGCGUCCCUUCUGAGGGGUACGUGGCGAAGGCUUUUUUUUUUGAGGAUGAUUCCUCAAAAAAAAAAGGAAUCAUCCUUACAAGGUUGAACAGGGGCAGGCGCGCUGCCCCCCUGCUGCCUGAAAGCAGCCUGGUCCCCAAGACCAGAACCCUGAUAGGGCAAGAAGAGAAGAAAAGAGAAGAAAACAGAAAGCAAACACAACCACCAGCCACCCCCAUCCAUCCCACCCCACCCCACCCCGACCCGGCAGACAGAGCAGGAGGCUGGCCCCCCGCCCCCCAGGAGGGGUUGCACAAAAACACCGCCAGACCUAACCCAAGCACCAACCUACACCACAGCCUAACCGCAAGAACCACCACCACCGCGCGCCAGAAAAGAAAACACCAGCGCUACGCACUCGCCCCGCCCAAACUCACCCCACCCCCACAAGUCGGUUGCUUAAGCAACACCCCAGGAGAACCGGCAGAGGAGACACAAGCAGAAAACUAAACGGGUCAGAUGUGGCGCUGACUAAGCGGGCUCCAGUCCGCUGCAAGACGUGCUGUGCAGGAAGGCCCACAGCCGCCCAGGCGCUGCCACUCCAGCCAGAGCUAGUACUCAUUUGUUUUUUGAGGAAUCAUCCUUACAAGGUUGAACAGGGGCAGACGCACUGCCCCCCUGCUGCCUGAAAGCAGCCUGGUCCCCGAGACCAGAACCCUGACAGGGCAAGAAGAGAAGAAAAGAGAAGAAAACAGAAAGCAAACACCUCGAAAACGCCAGCAACCACCAAUCCCACCCCAUCCCACCCCGACCCGGCAGACAGAGCAGGAGGCUGGCCCCCCCGCCCCCCGGGAGGGGUUGCACAAAAAACACCGCCAGACCUAACCCAAGCACCAACCUACACCACAGCCUAACCGCAAGAACCACCACCACCGCGCGCCAGAAGAGAAAACACCAGCGCUACGCACUCGCCCCGCCCAAACCCACCCCACCCCCACAAGUCGGUUGCUUAAGCAACACCCCAGGAGAACCCAGGAUAACCGGCAGAGGAGACACAAGCAGAAAACUAAACGGGCCAGAUGUGGCGCUGACUACGCGGGCUCCAGCCCGCCGCAAGACGCGCUGUGCAGGAAGGCCCACAGCCGCCCAGGCGCUGCGACUCCAGCCAACAGCAGCAGCAGGAGCAGCAGCGCCAGGUGCAGUCGCUUAUGCCCCGGACCGGCUCCCGGUUUGGGGUCCUGGCCACGCUGGGGGGACAGGACGGGGCGGGUGAUGGCGCUGCCAUGGCGGCGUCCGGGCGUGGGCGACGGGUGCAACCAGCCUCGCACGCACCGCAGCCGCCGCCGCAGCAACAGCCCCGCUCCAAAGGGCGCUGUGGCCCCGCCCAGCUCCCGCAGCAGAGGGCAGGGCGCUUGGGCGGCUGGCUGCCUCCCCCGCAGGACGGUCCUAGCUCGCCGCCGCACGUGCCCACUGGGUGGCCGGCAGGGGGACAGCAGGCUGGUGGGGGCAGCGGGUCGGGGCGCCACGGUGGAGGAGCGGGGCGGGCAGUGCCCCAGCCACCGCCCCAGGCGGGGCCGCCACCGCAGACGUCACAACCGGCGGGUGGUGGUAAGGGCAGGGGCAGGGGCCUGGGCGCGCCGGCUGGGGUUUUGGCCGACACGGCUGGGCGCGCUGGUGGGGGUGCGGGCAGUGAGGCGGAGUACGGGGCCAUUUGCCUGACCCGCGACACGUGUGUUGCCAUCGGCUCUGACCUCGUGACGCACCAGAACCGCUGCGCAGAUGUGCAGGGGUAUGAGUGGGCGCAGCUUGGCCGCGACGCGCUUGGUGGCCGCCUCCUUUUUUUUUGAGGAAUCAUCCUUACAAGGUUGAACAGGGGCAGACGCGCUGCCCCCCUGCUGCCUGAAAGCAGCCUGGUCCCCAAGACCAGAACCCUGAUAGGGCAAGAAGAGAAGAAAAGAGAAGAAAACAGAAAGCAAACACCUCGAAAACGCCAGCAACCACCAAUCCCACCCCGACCCGGCAGACAGAGCAGGAGGCUGGCCCCCCCGCCCCCCGGGAGGGGUUGCACAAAAAACACCGCCAGACCUAACCCAAGCACCAACCUACACCACAGCCUAACCGCAAGAACCACCACCACCGCGCGCCAGAAGAGAAAACACCAGCGCUACGCACUCGCCCCGCCCAAACCCACCCCACCCCCGUCCUCGGCUACCUCCGUGACCAGGGCGCCACCGUACCAGACUGGGCUGUCUGCCGUGUGCCGGCAGGCCGUACCGCCGUCCUGGCACAGCUGCGCGACGAGUUCACUGGCUGGUGGCGCCUGUACUCAGCCCAGCCUGCAGGCACGCCCCUGCCUUCCGACGUGACGGAGCAGCUGGAUGACGCCGCGCAGCAGAUGCAGACGGCUUACAUGGACUACGUGCUCCUAGAGGCCCGCACCCUGCGGUCCGCUAAGCGUGGACAGGAGGACCCCGGCGGUGCCGGCGGGCCCAGCCGCCGGCAACGCCAGCACCGCAGCCGCAGUACCUCCAGCCUCAUGAGCCUGGGCAGCGCUCCACUGCGCCCCGGCGGCGCCAGCUCAGGCGCCGAUAGCAUGAGCACCAGCUGCGGCGGUGCGCCCCCCAGCCAGGGUGGCGGCCGCCGCCGCACACGCCACAGCAGCAACAGCAACCGCAACCGCCACGGCGCUGCCGUGGCCGGCGGGGGCUCAUAAUGCGGCCACCAGUGGGAGCAGCGACCCUUCGGCUGCUGACAGUGAAUGUCAACGGCCUGGGCUCACCGUUAAAGGCGCGGGCGCUGGUUUCGCACCUGCAGCAAGUUGGGGCAGAUGUGGCGAUGGUGCAGGAGACCCACGCUACUGACACGACGGCGCUGGAGUCUUGCCUUCGUGCCGCGCAGGGGGCGUGCCUUCCGUGGCGCCACUGCCUCGCUGCCAGCCCGGCAGCGUCGCCCCACUCCUGUGGGGCGGCUAUCCUGGCGCGGAGUCGGCUGUCCCUUCCAGGCUGCGUACUGCAGCCGCUGUCAACGGAUGCGGCGGGCCGUGUGGUAUGUUGGGAUUGGGACGUGGGUCACCUGCGCCUGCGCUUCGUGUGUGUGUAUGCGCCCACGGCCGUGGCGGACAAGCCUGCUUUCUUUGCCGGGCUGCAUCCCCACCUGGCCACGGACAGGGUGCUUGUUGUCGGUGGGGACUGGAACUGUGUCACCGAUGCCAGUCAGGAGGCGGCCCCUAGCCCGUCACGUGCUGCAGGUGCCCCGCAACUUGCCAGCCUCCUCGCCCAGUUCAGUCUGGUGGACCCUUGGGCGAGCAAGCGUGGCGGCGCCAAGGGCUACACGCAUCCGGCCACACCCAAGCCGGCCACUCCCGCACGCCUGGAUCGGUGGUAUGUCAGUGCCACCGUGGCGCCGUGGGUGGUGGAUGUCGCACGCACGUAUGGGGCGCCUGGGGACCACAACGGUGUGCUGCUCACCCUGUCCUUGCCCGACCUGCCACAUGCGCACCGGGAGCAGUGGCGCUUCCCCACGUACCUGCUGUUUCACCCCUCGCUGCGUUUGGAGCUCGAGCAGCGCUUGGAGGCGCACGUUGCCGCAAAUCCCGUGGCCAGUACAGGAAGGGGGGGGGGUCGUCUAAAUGGUUAAGACACUCAAGCCGAUUUCGUUAAGGCUUCGAGAGAUCCUGGGUUCGAAUCCCGGUCACCCCACCAGGAAGGGCCCUGGUUUACCAAAACCCAUCCACACCUUGGUGGUGUGUAGACCCCCCCUGUGGUGCAGGGAGUCUCUGGGGUACAAGGCUGGAGCUCUGGGCCUGCAACUGGAGAGCUUUCAAGUUCAAGAUCCAAGAUUCAAGUGGAGCUCUGGGCCUGUCAACUGGAGAGCUCUAGAUGAUCUGUGUGGUCAAGGCAGUGGCUGUAGUUGUCACCUAGCUGUUGAGAACUCCAGUAGGUGUGUGGUGUCACCUGGCUGUUGAGGUUUCCAGUAGGUGUGUGGUGGAACAAACUUCUCUUCUCUUCUCUGAUCUCUGGCCCUAUCAAGGUUCUGUGAUAUGAUCCAGGCUGCCUUGGC
rnacentral:lncRNA from 1 species